rnacentral:misc_RNA from 1 species
AACGCACAUUGCGCCCGCCAGCACCCUGGCGGGCAUGCCUGUCCGAGCGUCACGUCCACCCCUCGGGCCCGGCCGCGAAAGCGAGAGCCGUCCCCGGCGUUGGGACCCGGCGGACCCCCGCCGCUCCCGAAAUACAGUGGCGGCCGCGCCGCGGCGACCCCGCGCAGUAGCGCACAGCCUCGCGGGGAAGCGCGGCGCCGCCACGCCGCCCGUGUGCUCACCGAAUACUCGGAAGGGCCGGGACCCCAACACACGCUCGGUUGACCUCGGAUCAGGCAGGGCUACCCGCUGAACUUAA